rnacentral:rRNA from 1 species
UAAUACGUAGGUGGCAAGCGUUGUCCGGAAUUACUGGGUGUAAAGGGCGUGUAGGCGGGACGGCAAGUCAGAUGUGAAAUACCUCGGCUUAACUGGGGUGCUGCAACUGAAACUGUCGUUCUUGAGUGUCGGAGAGGAAAGUGGAAUUCCCAGUGUAGCGGUGAAAUGCGUAGAGAUUGGGAGGAACACCAGUGGCGAAGGCGGCUUUCUGGACGAUAACUGACGCUGAGGCGCGAAAGCGUGGGUAGCAAACAGGAUUAGAUACCCUGGUAGUCCACGCCGUAAACGAUGAUCACUCGCUGUUGGCGAUAUAUUGUCAGUGGCUAAGCAAAAGUGAUAAGUAAUCCACCUGGGGAGUACGUUCGCAAGAAUGAAACUCAAAGGAAUUGACGGGGGCCCGCACAAGCGGAGGAACACGUGGUUUAAUUCGAUGAUACGCGAGGAACCUUACCUGGGCUCGAACGCCCACCGACGGCACCGGAGACGGUGCUCUCCAGCGAUGGCGGUGGGCGAGGUGCUGCAUGGUUGUCGUCAGCUCGUGCCGUGAGGUGUCGGGUUAAGUCCCAUAACGAGCGCAACCCUCAUCAUUAGUUACUAACAGGUCAUGCUGAGGACUCUAGUGAGACUGCCAUCGUAAGAUGCGAGGAAGGUGGGGAUGACGUCAAAUCAGCACGGCCCUUACGUCCGGGGCGACACACGUGUUACAAUGGGUGGUACAAAGGGCAGCUACCUGGCGACAGGAUGCUAAUCUCCAAAACCACUCUCAGUUCGGAUCGGAGUCUGCAACUCGACUCCGUGAAGCUGGAUUCGCUAGUAAUCGCGCAUCAGCCACGGCGCGGUGAAUACGUUCCCGGGCCUUGUACACACCGCCCGUCAAGCCAUGGAAGCCGGGGGUACCUGAAGUCCGUAACCGUCAAGGAGCGGCCUAGGGUAAAACUGGUAACUGGGGCU